GAUGAACGCUGGCGGCGUGCCUAAUACAUGCAAGUCGAGCGAACGGACGAGAAGCUUGCUUCUCUGAUGUUAGCGGCGGACGGGUGAGUAACACGUGGAUAACCUACCUAUAAGACUGGGAUAACUUCGGGAAACCGGAGCUAAUACCGGAUAAUAUUUUGAACCGCAUGGUUCAAAAGUAAAAGACGGUCUUGCUGUCACUUAUAGAUGGAUCCGCGCUGCAUUAGCUAGUUGGUAAGGUAACGGCUUACCAAGGCAACGAUGCAUAGCCGACCUGAGAGGGUGAUCGGCCACACUGGAACUGAGACACGGUCCAGACUCCGACGGGAGGCAGCAGUAGGGAAUCUUCCGCAAUGGGCGAAAGCCUGACGGAGCAACGCCGCGGGAGUGAUGAAGGUCUUCGGAUCGUAAAACUCUGUUAUUAGGGAAGAACAUAUGUGUAAGUAACUGUGCACAUCUUGACGGUACCGAAUCAGAAAGCCACGGCUAACUACGUG
rnacentral:rRNA from 1 species